ACUCUGCUCCUCCUCUCUAAUCCUUUGUCCCUGGGUGAGAAUGCUUGCUUUCUGAAUGCAAUGCACCCGGGCAAGGAUUCCAAGAGGGUGAGUC
rnacentral:pre_miRNA from 1 species